rnacentral:lncRNA from 1 species
UUGCGGUACAACUUAACAGCUCAAAUUAAAAUAACAAAACGGAAAUUUCUAAUUUAAAUCAUAUCCAUGCAAUCGGGUUGACAGGACCCGUUUGUGCUCCGGCCGACGAUCCGGCAUCCUCACGUUCUCCUCGCUUGGGGUUUCUCGAUCUCCAUUUCCUCCAGUCGACGAUUCCGGCGACAACAGCUCCAACUGCCGGCGAGCUUCUUCGAUAAUCUUCACUUUACAGGUAUCGUCUCUAUCACACAGUGACAAGCGGUUCUAGCCUGGGGCGUAUCCAGGGGGGGCAAGGGAGGGCAAUUGCCCCCCCUAAAAUUUGGAAAAAAAGUGAGGACCUAUAUGUAAUAAAAAAAUUUAUAGGGGGUUAAGUGUAAUUUUCACAAUAUAUUAAUAUUUUUUAAGGGUUAAUAUAUAAACUUCACAAUAUAUUAAUCUUCAAACCCUCUUCUCCCCCGUUUUCCCCUAAAUCCAUCUUCUCCACUUCGGGACUCUCUUCUCCGGACUCCGGGAAUCUUUUCUCCACUUCUCCCUCCGUUGCUACUUGUUGGAUUCUCUGGUAUUUAUUUGUUGAAUUGUUGAUCUUGUUUGUUGUUUCUACUAUUCUCCAUGUCUUGACUCUGGAACGUUGGACACAACCCCAGAUUUUCUCUACCUCCAAAGUCCAAAUUAAUUUUUUUUAUGUUCAUUUGGAAUUAAAAAUUAAAAUAGUUUGAUCACAAAUCUAUGAAACCCAAUAACUCUGCUUACAUUUUUUUCCCUUUAAUAUUACGACACAUUAUCAUAUCUAAUCAUCCCUUUUUUACCCAGACUAUAUAAUACCUACGAAAGCAAAUCGAUGUAUAGCAUGAUAUUGGUGAGAUGAAAAUCUUAACGAUUUAUUCUUUUUUUUGGUUCUUAGACAUUUUAUUCGAUUUAAUUUCAUCGCAAUUUCUUUGCAGAUAAUCAUUAUGGUUCUACUUGUGCCCAUAUUGUUUGGAUUUCUUCUAUCUUAUCGCUUAUAAAUCAUUUUAUUUUCUUUAGGUAGUUCUUCCUUUUUUGCCAACUUAUGAUAUUUCUGGAAAUUGAAACCUAAGAAGAUUUGCUUUAUUUAGAAUUCGAUCAUUUGGAUUCAUGAAUGUUAUAUUGAUUAUCCUUCAUCAAUAAUAUGAACCAGUUCUAGACUUUUGGUGUACUAAAUGUACACAAUAAUUACAGUGAAUAUGCUAUUAAUUAUAUGUAUCCUCGUCGUAGGACAUUGAAGUAAUGUAAAAUGUAUUUGAAAUUUUUAUUGUUAAUUAAAUGAAUGUAUUUAUUUUUAAUUUAAAUAUUAAUUAUGGAAUGAAUGUAUUGAUUUUUUAUAAGUUUUUAUAAUCAAUUAUAUGAAUAGGUCAUGCCAAAAUUUGUAUAGGUUUUUUAAUUAGUACAAAA